UUGAACCUUAGGAAUAGAUUAGGAUACAAGUUACAUGUCACUAGGAUGGUUGAGCAUCCGAACUCGUUGAGUUGAGUCCGAGUUCACUUAUGGAUACAAAUGUCCGAACUCGUUGAGUUGAGUCCGAGUUCGUGAGAUGUAACUAGGCAUUCGAACUUGUUGAGUUGAGUCCGAGUUCAUUUAUGGAUGCGAACGCCCGAGCUCGUUGAGUUGAGUCCGAUUUCACUUAGGGGCGGGUUACAUGAUUUCUUGAUUACAUAUGUGGCACUUAUGUGCAAAUUAUCCAUGUAUCUGAUUUGUAUUCCGAUGUGUUCAACGGGUGAAAUUUCUAGUUUAAUGGAAGAGCACUUAAGAUAUAAGUGACAUUUUGGGUAAGUGUUGUGAAAUGGACACUUUGGACAGGUAUGUUCUUAACCCUCAGGUUGAAAAUAGAUACAACAACGAUAAGGUGGUAAGAUGAUGAAUGAUGUUUCAAGAUGUGAUAUAUGUUUUGGUGGUACCAUGCUAAAGUUGUUUGGUAUAUUUGUAUUGUUAUGUUACUUGUUAUUUACAUAUGAACUUACUAAGCAUUUAUGCUUACUCUUUCCUUUUCAUUCACUGUAGUUUUGAACAAGCCAGCUCGAGAAUCGGGGCGGGUCGAAGGUUCGAUCACACUAUCCAAAGGACUUUUUUCUUGGUAAAUGGCUUGUACAACUUCUUAAGUAUGGCAUGUAUAGCAAUAUACCUAUUUUGUGUAAAUAAUUUUAUGAUAUGGCCAUGUUUGGUUGAGAAAAUGUUUGAUAUUGAUAAGUCAUGGUGAUGGCUAAUUUAGAUCAUGUUUGAUAUCAUGGAAGUUUAACAAGUUAUCUAGUUCAUAAAAAUUCAUGGAAAGAUGAAACUUGCCUUAAAACAGAAUAUUGCUGCAGCAAUGACAUGAAUUUGAAAAAUCACUAAAAAUAGUAUAAAUGGAACUAAAUGAUGAGUAAGUUAUGAAAUUGAAUCUUAAUGAGUCUAUUUUCAUAUGGAUUUAACAAAAUAGGAAUAUAAAUUAUAUUUUAUGAGAUAUUUAAACUUUUACGAAACAGGGCCAGAGUGAUUUCUAGAUCCCCUGUUCUGACUUUAAAAAUUUAUAAUAAAUUUUACUAAAAUAAUUAGAAGUUGUUAUUUAUAUGUGCAAAUUUUUUUAUUGAGUCUAGUUUUAAUAUAAACAAACCUCAUAGUCAUUUAAAUUUUGUAUGGAGAUAUAUCUGAUUUGUAAUACACAGAGGUCAGAGCAGUCGAACCCUGAAACAGGGGAUACUUUAAUUAAUAAACUGUACUAAUUGGCCCAAUAAAAAAUUCUAGAAAAAAAUUAUUAAAUAGAUAUAUGAGUGUAGAUUCAGGGAAAAUUUACGGAUAUUGAUUUUGAGUUUCGUAACUCAAGAUAUGAUUUUUCUUUUAACUGUGAUGCGAGUAGCUAGAAAGCUGUGAAUGUAGAAACAAAUGAUUUGAAGUUCUUAAAUUGAUAAAUUAUGUUCGGUAACCCCUCAAGCUCGACUCCGGUGAUGGUCUCGGGCGUGGGGGCGUUACAUCACAUGUCAUUUCCUCGACCGAGGUUGAAAUUAAGUAUAAUAUGUCGUAUGCUGAAGAAUCGUUUCGAAUUUUAGCUCAUGAGAUCAAAGAGUUGAGAAAUAAAAGAAUCGCAUUAGUGAAAGUACUAUGGCAUCGAUACGAAGUUGAAGAUGCUACAUGGGAAUCCUAGGAUGCUAUGAGAAAAUAAUACCCGAACCUAUUCACUGGUAAGAAUUUUUGGGACAAAAAUCCCUAAAGGGGAGAGUUGUAAUAACCCGCUUUUAGCUAAAUCAGAACAGUGUUUUUGGAACCACAAAUAUGAUAUCAGAAAAAAAUUUAAUAUUAUUUUUGAUGUUUAUCGCAUGUUAUUUGAUAUGGGUGAAAAUUUCGUGAGCUAAUUUUAUCGUUUAAUUGCUCAAUUUGAGAAAAAAGACUAAAUCGCGUAAAAUGCUAAAGUUCCAUUCUACUUGUUAAAGGUGUCAAAUAGCUUUGGCUUUUAAAUAUGAUGGCCUUAAAUGGUAAUUAGACCAUUUUAAAUGUUAGUGGACUUAUAUGGACAUUAAAUGGAUGAUAUUAAAUGAUUUAUAAUAAGGUUAGUUUAGUAAUUUGGUUAUUAAAGGUUAAAAUAAAUAAAACAAAGCUAAUUAAAGCUUUAUUCUCAUCUUCAUGCACCAAAAAUUAAAAGAAGAAGAAGCUAAGAUAGGGUUUUUCAUUCGACUAGGCAAAUUCAAGCAAUUAAGGUACAGUUUUUUUUAUCCGUUUUUAAUGAUUUUUAUGUUUUUGUAAUCGUCGCAGCAUAAUCUAGCUAGCACGUAUCUUUAAUUUUAAAACUGUUAAAGAUUUUAAGAGUUUCCAUUGAUGAUUUUAUGUGUUCUUUAGUAUUUGAAGAUGAAAUAUGAAAGCUUGAUGAUAGAUUUUCAUGUUUUGUAAAUUGAUUUUUGAUGAAAAUGCAUAAUAGGGAUUAAAUUGUGAAAUAUGCAAAUUGAGUGGUUCAAAUUGAAAUAAAUGACAGUUUUAGGCUGUUAUGGACGUAAAUGUAAUCCAGCCAAGCUUGGGUUUAAUAAAAUGAUGUGAAUUUUGAGUAUUUGUGAAAUAGGGACUAAAUUGAUUAAAUAUAAAAAUUUAGGGGCUAAUGUGUAAAAAGGCCUAAAUGUAUGUUUUGGAUUAAAUUGAAAGAAUAUGAGAUUGAAUAAGUUAAUUUUGAAUAUUUUUAGAUAAAAAAAGAGGAAUCAGAAAUUAGAUUGAGGGAAAGGCAAGAUUAUCGAGUAGCUGACUCAUUUUGUCAUUUUCAUACUCGAGGUAAGUUCGUAUGUGACGAUUUCAUUAUAAAUGUAUGUUAAACACUUUGAUAUUGCCUAAACUAUUUUUAUGAGAUUUUCAUUAAUGCAUGAAUUGUAAAUACAACUCUACGAAAUUAUUCGAAGAUGGAAUCGAUAAGCUAUAAAUCCCGGUUGAACCUUAGGAUUAGAUUUGGAUACUUGUGACAUGUUAGAAGAGUUAUACCGAUUUGGCUUCGGGCCAUGUAUAUAAGAUGAGUUGGCUUUGAGCCAUGUUAUUAGCACUUCAGGUGCGAGUUAUACCGAUUUAGCUUGGGGCCAUACAUAUAGGAUGAUUUGGCUUUAAGCCAUGAGAAUAGUUCUCCGGAUAAGUUGAUGUGGUUGAGAAAGAGGUUAAUACAAGGUGAUACAGGUAUGUACAGAGCCUACUCGAGUAUUAAAUAGUGAAAGUUUGAUGAGAUUGUAUUUGAUCAUGAUUUGAGACAUGAGAAAGGUUUGUAGUUAUUGUGUAUAUAGAUUUGUUAUGUGUAGUUGCUUGAUUUGCAUUUAUGUGAUGAAUUAAGUUAUUCAUAUAGGAGCUUACUAAGCUAUGAAGCUUACUUUGUGUUAUUUUUCUAUGUUUUAUAGUGAAUCAAGGCCAGCUCGGAUUCGAAAGUCGUCAGGAACAUCAUCGCAUUAUCAGACAUCUAUUUGGUACUUUUGAGUUGUGUAUAUAUGGUAUAUGGCAUGUAUAGGCUAGGUGUAAUAUUUUGGUUGUGUUUAUAGCCAUGAGAGUUGGCUUGUAAAUAAUGUUAAUGUUGAUGUGUGUUUGGCUAAUAGAAAUGGUUUAUUUUGACAUGUGUGGCAUGAACAUGGUAAAUUGAAUUGUGGGGUUUAAAUACUUUAGAAAUGCUUUGAUGAGGUAUGAUUUUAAAGGUUGAAUUGAUAAGUAUUUGAUUAGGUAAAUGGCAUUGAAUUGAGUAUUGAAAUUGGUUGAAAUGGAUAUUGUAUGAAUUGUACAUUUGGUUGAUGAUUUUGGCUGCCUAAUUGUAUAAUAAAAUGGUAUCAAUUUGAUUGUUUAGGUGUGCUCGAAUAAGGGUGGCAAAUUGACCUAGCAAAUGGCCUAUUUUUGUCUCAGCCGUGUGUGACAUACGGUCAUGUUACACGGCCGUGUGUCCCCUGGUGUUGUUAUUAAAAUGAAGUCAGGAUGCUCUACACGGUCUCACACACAGGUGUGUGACUGGCCAUGUGGUACAAGUCAGUAUACCCCCUAAUUGGCACAUGGCCUAGCACAUGGGCGUGUGACUUGGCUGUGUUGCAUCAGUCAGUAUACCCUACAGCUUUGACACGGCCUAGUAAAUGGCCCAGUACACAGGCUGGUGUGGCCACUUCGAAGGGCACACGGGCUAGACACACAGGCAUGUGGUUGGCCAUGUGACCCAAAUCAGUAUGUAUGCCCUAUUUCCACACAGCCUGAGACAUGGGCGUGUCUGGAGCCGUGUCAGGCACACGGCUUGUUCACACAGGCAUGUGACCUCGGUAUGUUUGAAAUUGUAUUAAGUUUCCAAAAUUCUCGUAUGAUAUUGGUUUAGUCCUGAACCACUUCUAAAGCAUGUUUAAGGCCUCGUAGGCCUUUAUAAGGGACAAUGUGAUUGUGAUGAAUGAUUUAUGAGAAUUAAUGUUUUACGGUUGGUAAAUGUAUGCCUUACAUUGUGAAUUGAUCGGCAAUACCUCGUAACCCUACUACUACGACGGAUACAGGUUAGAGGUGUUACACAUUUAGCAUACACAUCAUAAUUUAACUAUAUUGUCCCUCUUUUGAGCCCUUGAGGCUCAAAAUAUGUAUUAAAAUCAAAUCAGGACUAAAUCGGAUACUCCGGGAAUAUUUCGUAAAAUUUCAAUAAUUUUCCUAAGUGUAGAAGACACAUGCCUGUAUGGCCAAGGGACACGCCCGUGUGGCAUUGGACGCACCCAUGCCUUAAGCCGUGUCCGACCCCAUGUAAUUCUUUGACUUGGAUCACACAGCCAACCACACGCCCGUGUCUCUACCCAUGUAAAAAUACCUAAGCAUUCAAUUUUGAAAAUUUUAAGUUGCAAAAGAUACACGGCCAAAUUACACGCCUAUGUGUUAGCCUUGUGUCUAACACAUUCCAGUCACACGCCUGUGUGUCUGGCCAUGUGGACUCACAAUGAACCUUAAACAUCAAGUUUACCAUACCUUGCAGACUUCAACAACAAGAAACUCAAAAACCAUUUAUUCAACCAAUCCGAACACAAUCAAAUUCAUCUAAACCAUGUCAAAACAAUCAACUUUGAUACUUAUCCACUAUUCUUUUGUAGAUUCAACAUUCAUAUUGUAACACCCAUAACUGGUAUCCGUCACCAGGAUAGGGUUACGGAGCAUUACCGGACUUAUAUCUUAAACAAUAAUACAUUUCACAUUAAUUUCUCAAAUCCAAAAAAAAAGUCAUUCAAAUUCAAUCAUAUAGUCCCUAACAUGAGCCCUUGAGGCCCAAAACAAGCAUUAAAAGUGGUUCGGGACUAAACGAAAUACUUAAUAAAUUUUUUUAAAAAAAACAUAGAAAAAUUUCAAAGUACAGGGGACACACGCCUGUGUGGCCAGGCUGUGUCUCGCACGGCCAAGAGACACACCUGUGUCACAACCCGUGUGGACAUUUGAAAUGGAAUCACAUGGCCAUGUCCUAGCCCGUGUCCAACCCCGUGUAACUCACUUACUUUGGUCUCACGGCAAAUUACAUGCCCGUCUGACUAGCUCGUGUACCCUUCAAAAUGGCCUCACACGCACGUGUACCAGGCCGUGUUAAAAUUGGAGAGUAUACUGACUUGUCCCACGUGGCCAAGCCACACGCCCAUGUGCUAGACCCUGUGAAGCUACUGAAUUGGUUUCUAAAUAAGUACCAGGGGAUUUCUUAAUAAGUACCAGGGGACGCACGACCGUGUCACCUGGCCAUGUGUCAUAAUGGCUGAGACACGCGCCCGUGUCUCUGCUUGUGUUGACAAAAAUAGGCUAUGUUCCAAGCCACAUUUCUCACCCAAAUUUGCAUCAACCUAAACACAUCCAAUAUUAUAUGACCAUACCAUCAAUAAGCAUUCAAACCAAUCACAACAAAGUCUAAAUCAUGCAAUACCAAUACCAACAACAACAAUACUCAUAAACAUCAAAAUUGGCCAUUCAUAAUCAUAUUAAUAUCACUUCCAAAAGUCACCUAAAUGAUCAAAAUCACUUAAUAGACUUUGUGCCUUAUUCAACAAGAAUACCACAUCUCAAAUUCAAUCAAUUGGCACUCAAAAUACCAAAUACACAAUUAAGGCAUUCACCAAGCAACUAUACAUCACAUUCCAAAAAGGAUCAUUUAUACAUGUUUAUAUAACCAAGUAUAUCAAAAUAAGCCAAAUCACAUGGCUAAACACACAUGUUUACAUACCAUCAUAAACCAAAUCAAGCCAUAUUAAAUGACUAAUUACAAGCCAAUUCAAAUGGCCAAAAUUCAUCAAGGCAUAAAGGCUACAUUAACCAAAAAACCUAUACAUGCCAUAUAACCAAAAUACACAAAUUUCAAAAGUACCAAACCAAUGGCUGGAUAGUGUGAUGAGAUCUUUGACAACUUCCAUCCUAGUCAAGCUUUGAAAUCACUAUAAAACAUGGAAAAGUAAAUAGAGUAAGCUAUUAAGCUUAGUAAGCUCGUGUAAUAUCCUGAUUUUGGGCUUAGUCAGAACAGUGGUUUCGGGACCACAAAUCCAAUGAGGAAAAUUUCAUUUUGAUUAUAUUUUUAUGGUCUACGAUUUCACAAAAUGUUUUCGUGAAAAUUUCGUUCGAAAAUUUCGACGUGUGGGCACUCAAUUUAGCAAAAAGGACUAAAUUGUAAAAAGUGCAAAAGUUGAGUUCUACAUGUUAGAGGUAUCAAAUUGUUAUGAAAUUUUAAAUGGGAGGUCCUUAAAUGAUAAUUAAACCAUUGUAUAACUUUUUGGACAAAAAUGGCCUUGAUUGGGUAAAUUUUGAAAGAAUAGUAAAAAGGGCAUUUUGGUCAUUUAGGAGUAAAAUGAAUUAAAAGACAAAUUUUAAACUCCAAAUGUGCCCCUUUCUUCUUUCAAGGACAGGAAUGAUCCAGACAAGAAAAUCCAUAUUAACCUUUUCUAUUUCUAUUCUAAUUCCGAAACGGAAAAAAUAAUUCUGAUGAUUCUUGCUAUACAUCUUUAAACUUUCAACAUUUCAAGAAUUUGUACUCGAAGAUAAACAAUGAUCAUUUCAGCAUUUUUUUAAUACCCAGAUUAUCUUCACAUUAUCAAUAUCAGAUCUUCUUAUUGUAUACGAUUCUUCAAGGAAACAUAAACUUCUUAAUUAGACUAUUCGUCUUUUUACCCGUGAAGAGAUAAAAUCUUAUUCUCAAGUAUGCACAUCUCAUUAAAUUCUAGACAUAUACUCCAUACAGAUUGAACAAUCAAGUCGACCUUAUUCAUCCGUAAUUGAUAUUUCAAGAAAUUCUCUCUUCUAGUCAAUAGAACGAUUCAACAUGUAUCAUUCCAAAUUCACUCAUCAUAUCAAUCGAAUACCUUAACAAAUGCAUUAACAUAAGUAAUACUGAUACCUCAACUGAAUACAUUAACUCUGAUUAACUUUCUUGAGAAAGGAAAUCCACCAUACACAAUUUCUCAUCGAUUCUCAAUAGGCAGAAUAUAACAAAAUACUAGAGAAAAACAGAACCAUGCAGAUCAUAACCCAAUCAAACUGACAAUAUGUUCGUCUAAUGUUAAGAUCAAGGAACAUUUUCAUAAUAUAAGAAUUCAUCAGGGAUUAGAUAGCCCCAAUAAUAUUUCUAGUAUCAGGUAAUCUUAUACAAUAUCUCAAUAGAGACAGUCACAAAUUGUGCACUAUAAUUACCAUGCUUGAACAUUUCAUAUUUCGAACAUUAUUCCUUUAACUAUUUCUGUCGUCCCAAAUUCCAUAAUAUUCCCUUUACUAAGAAAACCAAAUCAUUAGGGAAUUUCAAUCAAUACAUUUCUCGACAUCAUACCAGGAUAGAUCGUUUUACCAAAAUUAACCUUUUUUGCUAAUUACGAUGUUGCGAAAAUUAAACAAUCUUUCAGUCAAUCCGAUAUCUUUUUAGCUCAUGUCUGUACUUAUCAACCCAUUAUCAAUAUCUAAUCAUGCUUAUAACUAUUCCAUCAUUGAACUCUUUGGUUUCUCGCCUAGAAACUCAUUCAACAUAACUCUCAAGAAUUUCCCUUAUAACACACCACUUUGGUAAGGGGGAGUGGGUCAUAGGGCCUCUGACUCAACUCUCAUAUACAUGUAACAUAGUUUUCAUCAUAGCAAUCAUAUUUCAAUCAUGUCAUUCAUUUCGAGUAACUAACAUUCAUAUUGAUUUUACACUCACUUUCUAGUUAUCUCAUUUAAACAAGUGUACUUAUACAUGUAUUUCAAUGUUUCCUAGAUAAUAUUACUUAUCCAUUCAUUAAAUUAGACAAGUCAAGCACAUAAUAUCAUAUAAGGGCCAAACAAACAUGGAUAAGUAUAUCAAAAUCUAAACUUUCAUCUUUCAUAUCAUCAUAUACAUAUCAUUACAAUCAUAUCUAUCAGUCCAAGCAAUUUAAUACAUUUACUCAAGUUAUAUGAGCUUACCAAUAUAAUCAUCCCAACCAAUAUACAUGAAUAUUCAUCUUAUCAAUAUUUUUGAUAAGUUACUCAAACACAUGCAUUUGUUCAAAUAAAUCGAUCAUAUACAUCAUUGAAUUAUCUAUUAAUCAUAGAUAAGCUCAUUUCACCAUGUACACAUUUCAUGAAUCCUCAUUCGCACCUUUCCAAGUUUCAAUUCGUCAUGACUAUACUUUACUCGAAUAUUUUGGCAUCACAUUCAAUAUGGUCGGUGUAGCUCGGUUGGAGAGUACCUUUUUCUGAACAAAGUGGCUCUCAUACGCGUCGGGAGACAUCACACUAUCAUGGAUCAGUGACAUGUAUAGUUGGACUUUUACACAUGCUGGGUUAGUCCGAGAACCGACUAAACCAUAGCUCUGAUACCACUAAAUGUAACACCCCUCACCCGUAUCCAACUUCAGGAUAGGGUUCGAGGCGUUAACGGACUUAAACAUUCACAACAACACAUAACAUAUUACCAACCAUGCAUGGCAAACAAGCAUAUGCACAUCACCAAUAUCAAACAUAACAUAAAUAGCUAGAUUUAUAAGUUAGAAUCAUUAGCUUGCUAAAGACCAAUAUAUUUGGCCAAAUUAUAAUAACACAUAUUAUAAAACUAGGUCCCUAUACAUGGCACUCACUUCAUAAUUCUAGCAUAUGUGUUUAUAUUGUCAAGGUGUUGGCUUGAUAGUGUGAUGCUGCCUCCGACGAUCUCCAACCCUGAGCUAACCUGACAACACUAAAAGAAAUGGAAAGGAGGGGGUAAGAUUUACGCUUAGUAAGCUCGUAUGAAAUAAUAAUAAGCAAUUUACUAACAUGCUUUCCAUAGUAAAACUAACCCAAUUGUACAUUUACACGUGUUCUGGUUAAGCUACUUUCUGGAGUCACAGUCACUAAAUCAUUUAUAUAUGGAGUUAUGGAACUCAAAAUUAAGAUCUGUAAAUUUUACCAGAAACUAGACUCAUAUAUAUUUUCACCAUAAAAUUUUUAGAAUUUUUGGUACAGCCAAUAAGUAAAUUUUAUUAUUCAAAGUCUCCCAUGUUUCACUGUUUGACAGCUUCAACCUUUCUUCACUAAAAUUUAUUUAUCUCAUAGUACGAGACUCGGAUAAUGUCCCCAUUUGUUUCUAUUAAAAGUAGACUCAUCAAAGAUUCUAAGCAUAUAAAUUAUAACCCAUAAUUAUUUUUCUACAAUUUUUAACAAUUUUUCGAAGUCGGAAUAUCACAAAAAUUAGAAUAUCACAUAAUAUACAACUCUUUUGCUCCCCCUGUUUCCUUUAUAUGAAGAUAGACUCAUUAAGCUUUAAUUCCAUAAUUUAUUUGAAAUUUAAUUCAACUUACACAACUUUUGGUGAAUUUUCAAAGUCAUAGAACUACUGCUGUCCAACAAUGUUUUGCUACUAAAAUUCACUCUUACAUAAUUUCACUGAAUCCAUUUUGUCUUAUCGAAGUUCACUCAAAUAUCGAGUAUAUUGCUCAAAUUUUCUUAAACAUAUACCUGCACUUAUUCAUCAUAUAAUUAUGUUCACAUGUAUUUUUACUUAAUCGAUUUUCCCGUUGAACUCUUCGAAAUAAUAACUGAUACUCAGUUGCCUGCAAUAUUUUCACACUUGUAGCGAAAGCUAUCUGGUAUGCAUAGUAGCCUGCACUUAGUACUACACAUGCGACCAAUUAUCCGGUACAUGUAGUAGCCUGCACUUAGUACUACACACGUGACCUAACCAUCUGAUACACGUAGUAGCCUGCACUUAGUACUACACACGUGAUCGAAGUUAUCGGGUAUGCAUAGUAGCCUGCACUUAGUACUACACAUGCGACCAAUUAUUCGGUACACGUAGUAGCCUGCACUUAGUACUACACACAUGACCUCACAAUAGAUCAUUCGUAUCAUUUCUAUUUCGAAGGCUCAACCGGGAAAUUCUCCACUUUCUAACAUGUUACAAUUUAUUCAUAGCCCUUUUUCAAUUUGCAAUUUACAACAAAUAAUCAUUCUAUAGGCAGCCACGUUUCAUAUGAUAACAAAAUAUAAUAAAAUAAAAAGAAUUGAUAAAUUAUUUACGUACAAACUUACAUCGGAUCCAGAAAUGGCAAUUUACUAUUCUAGUCCGUAACCUUGUAUUUUCCCGAUUUAAGCCCAAAUCUCGAUUUCCUUGAUCUAUAAUAUAACAUUUAGCCUACAAAUUAUUCACACUAUUCAUAUGGGUCUAUAAAUCAUAUUUUUACAAAUUUGCAUUUUGACCCCUAAACUUUUACAUAUUUGCACUUUUGCCCCAAGGUUCAGAAAUUAAACUUCUUCCUAUUUUAUUAUGUUUUAUGACAUGCUGAUAAUUUUUCCCUCCUAUGCCAACCUCAAAUUCUCACUCUAACAUGUACUUAUGAACAUUAGGUAUUUUUACCGAUUAUACCGUUUUACACGUUUUCACGUUAAAUCGCUUAGCAAAAGUUGUUUAACACAAUUUCAAGCUUCAUAUUCUACCAUUAAACAUCAAAAUACAUGCAUAUCAUUUAUGGGUAAAUUUUUAAACGUAAAUCCUAGCUCAAAAUAAUGGUAGAAAUGAGCAGAUCAUGUUACCAGGAUUUCAAAAAUACAUAGAACAUUAAAAACGGAGCUCGGAAUCACUUACUAUUAAGCUUGGAAGCUUGGCCAAACCCUAAUAAUGGCUGCUCUUGGUACAUUACACUGUAGCAAGAAGAAAGGGACACAUUUGGAGUUUAAAAUUUGUCUUUUAAUUCAUUUUACUCCUAAAUGACCAAAAUGCCCUUUUUGCUAUUCUUUCAAAUUUUACCCAAUCAAGGCCAUUUUUGUCCAACAAGUUAUACAGUGGUUUAAUUAUCAUUUAAGGACCUCCCAUUUAAAAUUUCAUAAUAAUUUGAUACCUCUAACAUGUAGAACUCAACUUUUGCACUUUUUACAAUUUAGUCCUUUUUACUAAAUUGAGUGCCCAAAAGUCAAAAUUUUCGAACAAAAUUUUCACGAAAUCAUUUCGUGAAAUCGUAUACCAUAAAAAUAUAAUCAAAAUGAAAAUUUUCUCAUUGGAUUUGUGGUCCUGAAACCACUGUUUUGACUAAGCCCAAAACCAGGAUGUUGCAGCUCGUAUGGCUAAAAAGUACAACUUACCAUUCAUUCAUAAUUAAAAGAAACAUAAGUAAACAUAGGUAAGUUAUAAUCAAAUCCAAAGGUUAGCACAUAAUCAUAACCAUGUAGUCAUGUAUGAGUACAUCAACUAUGAAUUACAUGACAUACUUCUCACAAUACCUAAACUGGUUCGUAUCAUAUCUUAUAUCCUCGUGCCAUCAUCUUUGACCGUUGAACCAUUUGGAAUACUAUCGGAUAGUCAGGAAUCUUGCACACUAAGUGCCAAUACAUGGUCAAAACCAUCUCAAUCCCAUAUCUCAUAUAAAUGCUCACUCUUGAGCUAAUCACUAGGCCUGCUCACACAAGCUGACGGUCAAGAUGUAGCUACAUGGUGUUUCUCACACAAGCUAAUGAGUAACCACAACACAUGCGGAAAAACUUAGGCACCGGUAGAACAUUUAGGACCAGUACCCAAAACACAAUAACCCCAAUGACAUAUCAUUUGUAUCCUAUCAAUUCCUAAGGUUCAACCGUGAUUUAUACUUUAUCGAUAACUUGUCGAGAAUUUUUGUGGUGUCGUAUGAUUACAAUUAUAUCAAUUAACCAUUCAAACAUAAAUAAUUUAAUGCUUAUUAAACAUACGAACUUACCUCGAUCACAAAAACAACGAAAUAAGAUCAGCUAGUCCAAUAUUUUAUCUUUCCCUCGAUCUAGAUCUGUACGAAGCUUAACUUGAUCUAAAUAAUCAAAUUCAAUCCAUUUAGUAUUGAUUAUAUUUAAUUCAGUCCGAAAUACAUAUUUUUGCAAAUUUACACUUUUACCCCUAAUAUUUUAACUUCUUUACAAUUUAGUCCCUAGCUCAUAAAAAUGUAAAUUCAUGCAAUUUAACCCACACCAUGCUAGCUGAAUUUCAAACAAGUUUAUAGCAGCCCACAUAUUUCAUUUAUUCACACAUUUCACCACAUAUUUUUCACAUUUUUUAUCAAUUUAAUCCUUAUUAAAUAUUUUCAACCAAAAUCACUUUACAAAACUUGUUUAUCUAACAACAACUAUUUGUUUUCUACCAUCAAACAUCAAAACACAUAUGCAUUCAUCAAUGGUAAAACUCUAGACUUUUAACAGUUUUGCAAAUUAGUCCCUGGGCUAACUAGAUUAAGCUACAAUGAUUCCAAAAACAUAGAAAUCAUUAAAAUCAGGACAAAAUUAUACUCAAAUGUAAUAGAAGAGCUUGGUCCAAUGCUUGGUUGUUCAAAAAUGGUGAUUUUUCUCCUUUAAAAUUCAGCUAGAAGAAAAUGGAGAAGAGAAUUUGUUUUAUUUUACUUAUUUUUGUUAAUUUGAGUAUUAAAUUACUUAUUUAACCUUUACUAAACACAUUAAUAAUGUCCAUAAUUUUCCACUCAAUAUAACAAUGGUAUAAUUACCACAUAAAUCCCUUAACUAUUUAAUUUCAUAACCAUUUAGUGCCUUUAACUUAUAGAACUCAAAUAUUGCACCUUUUUCAAUUUAGUCAUUUUUACUAAAUUAAGCAUGCAAACGUCGAAAUUUCUUAACAAAAUAUUUAUACAACCUUUCUAACAUACUGAACAUUAAAAUAAUAAUAAAAUAAGUAUUUCAACUUCAGAUUUGUGGUUUCGAAACUACUAUUCCGAUUUCACUAAAAACGGGCUGGUACAACUCUCCCCCUGUGGGAAUUUUCGUCCUCGAAAAUUCUUUGAGUUCUCACGUAUCUUAUUCAAUAUUGUGACUUUGCCAAAGAACCUUCACUAGAGCUAUGUUUUUGUUUCUUAACUCUUUAAUCUCUCAAGCCAAACUUUUGAUCGUUUCUUUACUAUAUGACAUACCGGGCUAAAUUUCAAUCUCUGCAGAAGAAAUUAUGUGCGACGGAUCUAAUCGAUACCACUUUAACAUGGAUACUUGAAAUACGUUAUGGAUCUUUUCUAGUUCUGACGGUAAAGCUAGCCGAUAAGCUACUGACCCUAUUCUCUCGAUAAUCUCGUACGAUCCGAUAAAUCGCGGACUCAAUUUUCCUUUGCGACCAAAUUGAAGAAUCUUUUUCCACAGCAAUACUUUCAAAAACACUCUGUCGCAGAUUUGAAAUUCAAUAUCUUUACGGUUCAAAUCUGCAUACGAUUUCUAUCAAUCUGAAGCUGCUUUCAAACUAUCAUGAAUUACUUUCACUUUCUCUUCAGUUUCUCUUAUCAAAUCAACCUCGUGAAUCUUUUUCUCACUAAGCUCAAUCCAGUACAAUGGAGUUUGACAUUUACGACCAUAUAAAGCUUCAUACGGUGCCAUCUUUAUGCUCGAGUGAUAACUAUUAUUAUAUGCAAAUUCUGUAACACCCCAAUCCCGUAUCCGUCGCCGGAAUAGAUAAAGGGGCAUUACCAGUCUUGAAACUCAUAUUAGAAUAGUAAAUUUUUUUUUUUGAACAUUCCUUUAGAUAAGUACUAGAGACAGUCAGGGAUACAAUUUAAACUUCUAUAAGUACACAUUCAAAAGAUGCCAUUUUCGCAUGGCUUAUAUACAUUAACCAAAAUAUCCUCUCACUACUAGUCUAUUCUAUACAUGCCAUAAGAUAAUCCAAAACGUAGCAGUACCAAACAAUGGAUAGUGAUAGUGUGACUAGUUGCUGAUGAUCCCCGAGCCUAUAGCUUCGCAAUGAGAUCUAUAAAAUAGAGAAAACAAAGUAAACGGAGUAAGCAUUACAAUGCUUAGUAAGUUUUAAGCAGUGACAACAGAUAACAAUCAAAUUAUAACAUAGUUGUUCAUAUUUUUAUUUCACUCUUCCUUCGGGCAUACCAUCCCUUUACCGAAUAUGCACAUCUCAUCAUAUACAAUAGGCAGAUAAACUUUCACAUAAAAGUGAGCUCAUGUGACAUAGAUAUAUUGUAUGAUUUCACAUAUCCUCUCACACUGAUCCGAAGUCACAUAAUCAUAGGAAUAGUCUCAUAGAUUGCUCUCAUAUGCAUCACAUAACUACCUUAUGAUUUAGUUCAAAUCAAACUCACAUAUAAACUUGGAGUACAUACCUGUUUAACCUUUCGCGUUGAAUAUAUUUAUAUGCAAUUCUUAUUACGAAGUCUUAUAGCUCUAACCUCUACUCGGAUUAUCGGCGAGACCUUUAGCUCAGACGAAAUCUCUACAUGAAGUUAUCGGGUCUUACCCGGACAAAAUCUCCACACGUAAUCAUCGGGUCUUACCCGGACAUAAUCUCCACACGUAGUCAUCGGGUCUUACCCAGACAUAAUCUCCACACGUAGUCAUCGGGUCUUACCCGGAAUAUAUUUCCAAGUUUCAUGUACAUUUAAUCACAUGUUACAACAUUCACAUCGACUGUCAUAUUUGUAAUUCAUUUGCCUCAUCCAAAAAUCUAAUAAUACACACCUUUCACCGUUUGUCAUUUGGCCACAAUAUAUAUAUACACAUCUCGUACAUAUCUCACAUUAGCCAUUUGGCUUUACCACAUAUCCAUCUCAUACACGUUUCGCAUUAGCCAUUCGGCCUUACCACAUAUAUUCAUGUUCACAUUCAUCACAUUGGCCAUUCGGCCUUAUCUCAUAUAUGCAUGUUCACAUUCAUCACAUUGGCCAUCCGGCCUUAUCACACAUACGCAUGUUCACAUUCAUCACAUUGGCCAUUCGGCCUUAUCACACAUACGCAUGUUCACAUUCAUCACAUUGGCCAUUCGGCCUUAUCACGCAUAUAUAUAUACAGGUUCACAUCCAUCACAGUGGCCAUUCGGCCUUAUCACACAUACGCAUGUUCACAUUCAUCACAUUGGCCAUUCGGCCUUAUCACACAUAUAUAUACGGGUUCACAUUCAUCACAUUGGCCAUUCGACCUUAUCACACAUACGCAUGUUCACAUCCAUCACAUAAAAUCCUAAAUCAAAAUAUAAAUUUUCAUGUAUUCACAUCACAAUUAUCCAAAUAUACUUCACAUACCACAUAUACUUUCACGUAUACACACUGUCUUGGCUGAAUCUACAUCUAUCAUUUUCCAAUAUCACAAUUUAGAAUUCACGUAUGGGUUUAAUCAAUAGCUUAUGAGCAACUAAAACAAGUUUAUCAAGGUUUACAACAUAAUCUCAAAUUCAGCACAAGCUGUUUUUCCUGAGCAAUAGUCACUAAAUUAUUUAUAACUGGAGCUACAAAACUCCAAAUCACUUUUCGUUAAUUUUUCCUGAAUAUAGACUCGUAUAUCUUCCAUCCAUAAAAUUUCCAGAAUUUUAGGUUUGGCCAAUCAAUACCAGAUUUUUCUUAAAGUUUCCCCUGUUUCACUGUUUGACUAAUCUGACCACUCUUCACUACGAAUCAAAUUUCUCAUUUUACAGAAUUCAAAAUGUGUUGUAUUUGAUUUCAUUUGAAACUAGACUCAUUAAGGAGUCUAAGCAUAUAAAUUUUAUCUUAUAACCAUUUUUUUACAAUUUAUAAUGAUUUUCUAAAAACCGAACAGGGGAUUUCGGAGUCAUUCUGACACCGUCUCACACAACUUUAAAUAUCUCUUUAUAGGAAAUUUCUUUGCUCACAAGGUCUCUUUUAUAAGAAACUAGACUAAUUAAGCCUUGAUUACAUAUUUUAUGCAGCCUAUAAUUCCACAGCAACAAUUUAUAGUGAUUUUCUAAAAUCACGUUACUGCUGCUGUCCAAAGCAAAUUAUUACAAUUUGCUCUCAAAUUUCCAAGUCCAAACACUUAUGAACUUACCAUUUGAGUUUAAGACAUAUCAUGGCCACAUCAUAUCUUAUUAAAUCAACUCAUUAUGUCCUAUUAUGAUUGAAUUUACUCAACGUUUAAUCACUUAAAACUUACCUCGGAUGUUGUCGAACGAUUUCGGCGGCUAUUCGAUCACUUUUUCCUUUCCUUUAUCCAACUUUGGUCCUCUAAGCUCUUGAGCUAAUUCAAAAUAAUUUAACUUAUUAACGUCUCAUUAUGCUAGCUUAUGGCCGAAUAUGACAAUGAAUUUGAUAGGUCAUAUGGCCACCUUUAGCUCAAAUACAAAAUGGUCAUACGCAUUUUUAAUCACAUUAAGCAAUUUAGUACAAUUAAUCAAACAUUUUCUCAUAUGCACCUUUAUGACCAAAUACACACAUCAAUAACCUAAUAUCAAUUAACUAAGCACUUAACAAAUUCUCCUUGAGCCGAUUGUCUAAGUCAAGAUAGGAUCAUCAUUAUGCUUACCUAUAGCCGAAUGUACAACAUCAAUCUAUGCAUUCAUUCGUGUGGCCGAACAUGCAUGUCUAUGUUGAGGCCGAUUGCAUACUUAAUACAUUCUACAAGUAUGGUCACUUGUAUUGACCAAAUACCAUUUUGUUUCAAGUUCAAAACUUGGCUAAUACACAUAUAUGCACUAUUAAAACAUCCUCUCCAUUCCAUCAAUUCAACACAUGCAUUACUCAUUAAUAUACAAAAUUAUAUUCGGCCUUAGCACACCUCUUGCUGGCCGAAUUUUUUCUCCAUCUAGCAACAUUUUAUGUACUAUGCCAAACCAAAAAGAUCAAACACCUAGCUUAAUCAUUUCCAAAACACUUAACCGGCCUUUGACCAAGACUUUAAACAAAGUCUAUGUUCGGCUAUCACACAUAUGGGCAUUAUUAGUUCAAAGUUUUAACAAGAUUAAUUUCUUUGAUCUUAACCUAAAUGACAACCCCCAUUGUUCAUCUAGAUUUAGCAUGAAACAAACACCAACCAAGAAAACAACACCCAUGGCCGAGUAUCAUCUUCAUCACAUAGCAAGAUUUAAACCAUAGGCUAGGUAGAACUCAAACUAACAUCAAAAAUAUGCAUGAAUCUCAUGGAACAACAUCAAACUUACCUUAACCUAGCUACAAGCAUGACCGAAUCUCUUCAACAUUUCCUCCUCCUAAACACCAACCAACCGAACAUGAAGCAAGAACUCCUUCCUUCUUCCUUAGAAUUUUCGGCCAAAAGAAAUGAAAGAGGGUGAACAAAUUUUCUUUUUUUUCUUUUCUUCACUCACGGCAAUGGGGGGGACAAUCACACACAUCCUUUCUUUUCUUUUUUUUUGUUUCUCAUCCUACUAACACUAAUAUUUUAUUGCCCGUGCCCUUUAUUUUAUUAAUCCUUACAUAAUGCACUACCCCAACAUGUUUAUGACAUGUUUUUAGCCAUAACAUCUUGUCCACCCAUGCUCUUUAUUUUAUUAAUCCUUACAUAAUGCACUACCCCAACAUGUUUAUGACAUGUUUUUAGCCAUAACAUCUUGUCCACCCAUGCUCAUGGCCGGCCACUACAUAUUAGGGGGAAAUUGACAUGCAAGUCCUCCCUUUUGAUUACAUGCACUAUUAGGUCCUUGUAGAUUAGCCUAUCACAUUUCAAAAAUGUCACCCAUAAGUCCUUUUGACUAAAUUCACAUGCAGUUUACUAAAUCGAAGCCUAAAACUUUCACACAUUCAUAUUCACAUAUUUUAGACAAUAAUUAUCAUAUUCAAAUAAUUUGGUGACUCAGUUUAGCGGUCCCAAAACCGCUUUCCGACUAGGGUCACUUUAGGGGUGUCACAAAUUCAACCAAUGGUAUAUAUUUUUCCCAAUUGCUUUCAAACUCUAAAACACAGCAAUGAAGCAUAUCUUUGAGAAUAUGAAUCACUCUCUUAGAUUGACCAUCGGUUUGAGGAUGAAUUGCAGUACUAAAAUGCAACCGUGUACCUAAAGCCUCUUGAAAUUUAUUCCAAAAUCGUGGCAUAAAUCGCGGAUCUCUAUCUGAAAUAAUAGAAACUGACACCCUCUGCAAUCUGAAAAUCUCAUAUAUAUAUAAUUCACCUAAUCUAUCAAGUGAAAAGUCUGUGCAUACCAGAAUAUAAUGUAUAGAUUAUGUUAAACGAUCAACAACAACCCAAAGAGCAUCUUUCUUUAUCAGAGAUAGGGGUAACCCCGAUAGAAAAUCCAUCGUAACUCUAUCCCAUUUACACUCAGGUAUCAUUAUUGGCUGUAGUAGUCCCGAAGGUACUUGAUGUUCGGCUUUAACCUAUUGACAAACCAAGCAUCUUGACACAAAUUUUGAAAUAUCACGUUUCAUACCUGACCACCAAUACAACUGUUCCAAAUCAUUGUACAUCUUAGUACUCCUCGGAUGAACAAACAAGCUACCACUGUGUGCUUCAUGUAAAAUUUUCUGUAUAAGCUUUGAAUUUUUUGAUACACAUACUCUUCCUCGAAACAGCAAACAAUCAUCGGAUCCGAUCUAAUACUCUGAAUCAGUAGUCGACUCACACUGUACUCUUUUAGCUUACACAAUUCAUUAUCAAAUUUUUUAGCCUUGCAAAUUUGCUGGAGAAAGACUGGUUUAGCUUUCAACUUAGCUAAAAUCGGACCAUCAUUAGAUAAUGUCAAUCGUGUAUUCAUUGCUCCCAAAGCGAACAAAGAUAUUUUACUCAGAGCAUCCACGACUACAUUUCCUUUCCCCGGAUGAUAAUCAAUCACUAACUCAUAGUAUUUCAAUAAUUCGAGCUAUCUUUUUUGUCGCAAAUUCAAAUCUUUCUGAGACAUCAGAUACUUCAAACUCUUGUGGUCAGUAAAUAUGCAACACUUCUCACCAAACAAAUAAUGUUGCCAAAUUUUCAAUGCAAAAACAAUAGCGGCUAACACUAAACAAAUAAUGUUGCCAAAUUUUCAAUGCAAAAACAAUAGCGGCUAACACUAAGUCAUGCGUUGGAUAAUUCUUUUCAUGUGGUUUUAACUGUUUGGAAGCAUAAGAUAUCACUUUACCUUCUUACAUUAAAACACAUCCCAAACCGUUCAAUGAUGCAUCACUAAAAAUUACAAACUCUUUACCCGGCUCAGAUUGAACUAAAACUGGUGCCUCAGUUAACAGUGCUUUCAAAUGAUCAAAUCUCUGUUGACAUUUCUCAGACCACUCAAACUUUACAUCUUUUUGCAAUAAACGAGUAUCAGUGUAGCUAUCAUCGAAAACCCUUUUACAAAACACCAAUAAUAGCUAGUUAAUCCCAAAAAACUUCUGACCUCGGAUACAUUUUUUGGUGGUUUCCAGUCAACAACUGCUGAAAUCUUACUCGGAUCAACUUUGAUGCCUUCCACUGAAACAAUGUGUCCUAAAAAUCAAACUUCUCAGAGCCAAAACUCGCAUUUACUAAAUUUAGCAUAUACUUGUUUAUCUCGCAAAAUCUGCAAUACAAUUUUUAAAUGCUCGCAUGCUCAGAUUCAUCUCGAGAAUAGAUAAGAAUAUCAUCAAUGAAUACAACAAAAAAUCUAUCCAAAUAUGGUCUAAAGAUUCAAUUCAUCAAAUCCAUGAAUAUUGUAGGAGCGUUAGUUAAUCUGGACAGCAUACCAAGAAAUUUAUAAUGUCCGUACCUGGUUCUGAAUGUAAUUUUUGGCACAUCUGAAUCUUUAACCUGCAACUGAUAAUAGCUAGAUCGCAAAUCAAUCUUUGAAAAUAUUAUUGCUCCUUUCAACUGAUCGAACAAAUCAUCAAUUCUCGGUAAAGGAUACAUAUUCUUAAUCGUAACCUUGUUAAGCUAACGAUAGUCAAUACACAGUCUCAUCGAUCCAUCUUUCUUUUUUACGAAUAGAACUGGUGCCCCAAGGCAAAAAACUAGGUCGUGCAAAACCCCCAUCUGUUAACUCUUGCAACUAAGCUUUCAAUUCUUUCAAUUCUGUUAGAGCCAUUCUGUACAGAGCUAUUGAUAUUGAUGAUGUUCUCGGUACUAACUCGAUAGCAAAUUCAACCACUCUGAUCGGAAGCAAUCCGGGUAACUCUUCUGGAAACACAUCUGGAUAUUCACGAACCACUAGCACUAUUCAAUCUUGAUUCAGAUACUCUUGUAUCAAGUAUAUACGCAAGGUAAGCAUUGCAACCCUUUCUCACAUAUUUCUGUCCUAGCAUCGUCAAUAUCACAACAAAUAACCCACUCGGAUCAUCGGAUUCAAUACGAAUAAUUUAACUAUUCUGACAUUUUAACUCAAUAGUCUUUCAUCUACAGUUUACAACAACAUCAUGCAGAGUUCCAUGCCCAAAAUCACAUCGAAUUCAUCAAACGGUAAAAGCAUCAAAUCAGUCAAAAAAUAGUAACCCCGAUUCAUCACAGGAUAAUUCUUGCAAACUUUAUCAACUAAGACAUACUGACCUAAGGGGUUCGAUACUUUAAGCACAAAUUCAGUGGACCCAACAGAUAAACUUUUACUAGACACUAAAUUUAUACAGGCAUAUGAAUGGGUCGAUCCAGGAUCAAACAAAGCAGUUACAUUAGUGUCAUAAAGAGAAUUGUACCGGUCAUAACAUCUGGUGCCGAUGCAUCUUCGUGAUCACGAAUAGCGUAGCCUCUGGCUGCACUCGAGCCUCUGAUCUCACAGUAGAAUCCUUUGCUGCACAUUUACUACUAGUCACAUUUCCAUUAUUUCUAGGUGGCCUCCCUCUGGACACUAUAUUGCUCGACCUUGUAUUCAAAAAUUUAUCUUUCUCAGGUAACUCCGAGCAAUCACGAAUAAAUGAUCUUCUGAGCCACACUUGAAACAAGCUUUAUUAUUCAUCCAACAAUCCCCAAAAUGUUGUCUUCCACAUUGUUGACACUCAGGUUUGUUGACUUUGACACUACCAACACUCGAUACUGAAGUAGCUUGAGCUUUUGGACUCAUGUGUUGCUUGCCACGAUCUCUGUUGGAAUACCCCAAUAAAGCAGUCAAACGGUUAUAAAAUCUCUUAAUUUCUUUGAAGAAGAAUAAUAGGGUUUACUCAUUGACCUCUUUCUCGAGUCUCUAGCCUCAGAAUCGGCUCUUCUCUUUUCUUUCCUAAGCUUCUCAACUUUGCAAGCUCUAUCGACCAAAACAACAAAUUCUUUCAAUUCUAAAAUUCUAACUAAAAGUUUGAUAUCCUCAUUCAACCCGUCUUUGAACCACUAGCACAUAAUUUUUUCAGUGGAAAUGCAUUCUCGAGCAUACUUACUCAGUCUCAUAAAAUUUCUUUCGUACUUGGUUACAGUCAUACAACCCUGUUUCAAUUGUAGAAAUUCUUUGUGCUUUUGAUCAAGAAACCACUGACUUAUAUAUUUCUUUCUGAACUCAGUUUGAAAGAAUUCCCACAUGACCCAUUCUCUCGACACCACAGAUAUUAAAGUGCUCUACCACUGGUAUGCAGUAUCUCUUAGAACAGAUACAACACAUUUAACAUAUUCUAGUGGUGUACAAGAUAGUUCAUCAAAUACCCAGAUCGUAUUCUCUAGCCAAAACUACCCAGAUCAUAUUCUCUAGCCAAAACUCAGCUUUAUCUGGAUCAUCAUCAACUAUAGCUUUAAACUCUUCAGCCCCAUACUUUCGAAUUUUAUCAACAGGUGGCUUACUUAUAUGUAAAAGUUCCAAACCUUGAGGAGCUACGGGAACCGGUUGGGGAAUAGGUGGGGGUGGAGGUUGCUAAGCAACUGAAUUCGUUCAGACAAACUCAGUGAACCAUUCAUUCUUCAUUUGGAAUAAGGCUUCCUUGGCCUCUCCUCCACGAUGCUCAGAUAUGGGUCUUGAUUCAAACAAUGCUACUCCGUGAAAGGAGACUAGCACAUUACUUUCUACAUCGUCAGAAAUUGCUCGAUUGGGAUCUAUUACUAUAUAAAAACAUAAUUUAAAACUGUCAGGAGAUAUUACACUAUCACAGGUUAAAUAUGGCUUGUAUAGCUAGACUCACACAUGCUACGUUAGUCUAAGAAUAGACUAAACUAUAGCUCUGAUACCAAUAAAUGUAACACCCUUAACACAUAUUCGUCACCGAAAUAGGGUUAUGAAUCAUUAUCGGACUUAUAUCUUAAAAAAUUAUACAUUUCACAUUCAUUUCUCAAAUCCAAACAUAAUUUAUUCAAAUUAAAUCAUAUAGUCUCUAACACGAGCCCUCGAGGCCUAAAACAAGCAUUAAAAGUUAUUCGUGUAACAACCUAUUUUUAAUCAAAUCGGAACAAUGGUUUUGGGACCACAAAUCCUAAGUCAAAAUAUUUAUUUUAUUAUUAUUUUAAUUUUUAAAUCAUGAUAUCAUGUACAUGUGAAAAUUUCGUGAAGAAAUUUUAUCGUUUAAAUGGUUAAUUUGAGAAAAAAUACUAAAUCGUGUAAAAUACAAAAGUGCUGUUCUAUUAGCUAAUGGUGUCAAAUAGCUAUAGAACCUUAAAGUUAAGGUCCUUAUGUUCUAAUUAGACCACUAAAUUGGUGGCUGGACAAAUAUGGACAAGCACUAAGUGAUUUUUAAGUUAUAUUAAUAAGGUUAAUUUGGUAAUAUGUUUAAUAAGGUUAAAUUAAAUAAAACAAAGCCAUUUUAUUCAUUUUUUUCAUCUUGGUUGCCAAAAAAUUGAAAGAAAAGAAAUCCAUUCUUUAGGUUUUCCAUUUAGUCAUUUUGAAAGCUAGAUUAAGGUAUGGUUUUAGCUCAGUUUUUAAUGAUUUUUAUGUUUUUGACAUCAUUCUUCGUAUUCUAGCUAGCCCGUACCUUAGAUUUUGAAAUUGUUAAAGAUUUAUCAUGUUUCCAUUGUUGAAUGCUUGAGUAAUUUGAUGAAUUAUGAUAGAUUUGGAAGGUUUAAUGUUAGAUUAAUGGUUUUUGUAAAGUGAUUUGUGACAAAAAUGUUAAAAAGGGAUUAAUUUGUGAAAAUGUGAAAUGUGGUGGUUAAAAGUGUGAAAAAAUUGAAAAUAUGGGCUGCUAGCAACAUGUAUUAAAUUUGGCUAAGCAUGGAUUUGUACCAAAUUGCAUGAAUUUGUAAUUUUAUGUGAUAAGGACUAAAUUGUAAAAAUGUGAAUGCUUAGGGAAAAUGUGUAAAAUAGCCCUAAUGUGUGUUUUGGACUAAAUUGAAUAAAUAAUUGAUUAAAUAAGCUAAUUUUGAUAACAUCCGAGCAACUCGAGGUAAGUUUGUGUAAUUAGAAUUGAACUUUUAAAUACUUGUAAUUAAUUAAAAUGAAUGUAUAUAAUUGAGUAAUUGAUCUAGUUGAAAUACGAAUAUCUUAUUGAUAUAGUCUGAUGGUUAUUGUGGCCCGUUUGAAAAGUAGGAAUUCGUAGGAGACAAGUGACAUGUCACUAGGGUUAACAUUUAGGUUGAGAUCCUGUAUGUGUUGUGGACUCACCACAGCUCGUAUGAGCUUACCGAUAUAUCAGCUCAUAAGAGCUUACUGUUUUCAGCUCGUCAGAGCUUACCGUUUCAGCUCAAUAGAGCUUAUUGUCUAUCAGCUCAGGAGGAGCUUACUGAUCAUAGAUCGAAAGAGCGGAAAAGAUAAUGAAUCAAUCAAUUACUGAUUUAUAUGUAAUGCAUAUCACUAGAGUAUCCCUCAAUAUUCUAAUAGCUUCAAUGGGCAUAAAUUAUGUUAUUGGUUAUGUGAAAAAGCUAUAUGUUAUACGGAUGAAUUACUGUUAUAUGAUGAAGUAAUGUUUAAACGGAUGAGUUACUAAUAUCGAAUGAAUUACUAUUUAUAUGAUUGAGAGUGAAAUGUUACGAAUUAUGUACAUGACAUAUGAAUUUGAUAUGAUACAAUGUAUUGAGUAUUAAAUUGAGAUAAUGGAUGAUUACAUGCACUUAUGUGACUAACUUGUUGAUGAAUGCUUGUGUAUAGGCGUUUGGUAAGUGAAUUUGAUAUAAUUUGUUUAAUUGUUUGAUUAUGUAUAAAUGGUAAGUUAAAUUCUGAAUUAUACGGAGUUACUAAGCUAUAAAGCUUACGCUACUUUUUUUCCAUGUUUUAUAGAGGUUCGAUAGCUCGCUCGAUUCGGAUAAGUUAGAGUUACACAUCACAUUAUCCAGUUGUCGAUUGGUACCUUUGAACUCAUGGAUAUUUGUAAAUAUGGCAUGUAUAGGCUAGUUAUAAAGAUGAUAGUUAUGGUUACUUGAGAUAGUGAUUUAGGUACAUGUUGUGGUAUAAGUUAAAGCCAUGUUUUUUGGCUUAACUUGUAUGAUGUUUUGGUUGUUUAUAAGUAUUCAAAUAUGGUAUGUUUUGGCAACUAGUAGAUGGAAUGGAAAUAUGCAAAUAUUGUCUUGAUAUGUAGUAGGCAAAUGAAUGGAAAAUGCAUGAUAUUUAUUAGGUAUUUGAAUACUAUCUUGAAUUUGUAUAAAAUGUGUAUGAAAUGUUAUGGAUUGGCUGCUUAAUGAGUUCUAAAAUGUUACAAUUUAUGCUUGUGCAGGUAUGUAAAAAUAGGGUGGCAAAAUGGCUUUGCAAAUAGCUUAUUCUUGUCCACCUGGGUAGAGACACGGGCAUGUGUCUCAGUCGUGUGUGACACACGGUCAAGUUACACGGUCGUGUGUCCCCUAGUGUUAAAAUUAAAAUGUACUCAGUAUACUCCAUACAGUCUCACACACAAGCGUGUGACUGGCCAUGUGGUACAAGUCAGUAUAUCCGUUAUUUAGCACACGACCUAGCACAAGGGCGUGCGACUUGGCGUGUUACAUAAGUUAGUAUACCCUACAGGUUUUGCAUGGCCUAGCACAUGGCCUGGCAUACGGGUGUGUGUGGCCACUUUGAAGGGCGCAUGGGCUAAACAUAUAGGCGUGUGGUUGGCCAUGUGACCUAAGUCAGUAUGUACCCCCUGUUUUCGCACAGUCGGUGUGUAAUAUCCUGAUUUUGGGCCAAGUCGGAAUAGCGGUUUUGUGACCACAAAAUCCGAGAUAGAAAUAAUUAUUUUAUGAUUAUUUUGAGGUCUAUGAUAUGAUUGCAUGAUUGUGUGAAAAUUUCGUGAAGAAAUCUUAUGCAUAAAGUGCGUAAAUUGAAAUUAGGGACUAAAUCGAAUAAUUUGUAAAACUUGCAUUCUAGAAGUUUCUAGUAUGAAAUUGUUUUGAAAUGUUAAUUAGGAGGUCUUAAAUAGAAAUUUUACCAAUUUCUAAGUCUAUGGACAAAAAUUGGACAUGGAUGGAAUUUUUGGAAAGUUUAGUAGGAAGGGCAUUUUGGUAAUUUAGGGGUAAAAUGAAUUAAAAUACAAAAUUAAAAGCCAAUUUUGCUCAUCUUCAAUCCCAUGGCCGAAUAUAGCAAGGAGAAACCAUGGAUAGGAUUUUUCAAGCUUCCAAGCUCGAUUGUAAGUCCGUUCUAGCCUCAUUUUUAAUGAUUUUUACAUUUUUAGAGUCCCGGUAGCUCGAUUAAGCUUAUGCUAGCAAUAAUUCAACCUAGGGUUCAUAUUUGGAAAAAUACCCAUAGGUGAAAUUUGUGUAUUUUGGUGUUUUAUGAUAGAAUAUGAGGUUUUAAAUUAUGUUAGACAACUUGUACUACUCGGUUUUAAGUGAAAAUGAGCAAAAUGGCUUAAUCGGUAAAAAUACCUAAUAGUCAUAAGUACAUGUUAGAGUGAGAAUUUGAUGUUAUCAUGAAGGUAAAAAUGAUCAGCAUGUCAUAAAACAUAAGAAAAUAGGCUGAAGUUUAAUUUACGAGCUUUGGGGAAAAAGUGUAAAUAUGUAAAAGUUUAGGGGCAAAAUUGUAAUUUUGCAAAAAUAUGAUUUUGGGUCAAUUUGUAUAAUGUGAGACCUAAUUAGACUAUAUUUUAAAUGAUAGAACAAGGAAAACUAAAUUCGGGCUAAAUUGGGGAAAAUACCAAGUUGUGGACGAAAUGAUAAAAGUAGCCAUUUCCGCAUACGAGGUAAGUUCAUGUGUAAAUAAUGUAGCAUAAUUGUUAUUUUUAAGUUAUUGAUGUUAAUUAUAUGAUAUGCUGAUUUUUAAUCGUGAAAUAUUAUGCUUUGUGGUUAAUGUUGAGUAAUAUGCAAAUUAUGUUUACUACUUGAUAAAUAUGAAUUGCUACCGAGUAUCGGUUCCGAUAUUCCAUGGAAGACGGCAAAUGUGAGAUCGAGGAAAAAAGCCCGUUUGAAUCUUAGGAAUAGAUUAGGAUACAAGUGACAUGUCACAAGGAUGUUUGGGCAUCCGAAAUCGUUGAGUUGAGUCCGAGUUCACUUAUGGAUGCGAAUGUCCGAACUCGUUGAGUUGAGUUCGAGAGAUGUAACUAGGCAUCCGAGCUUGUUGAGUUGAGUCCGAGUUCACUUAUGGAUGCGAACGCCCGAGCUCGUUGAGUUGAGUCCGAGUUCACUUAUGGGCGGGUUACAUCGUAGCUUGGCUACAUAUGUGGCACUUAUGUGCAAACUUUCCAUGUAUUCGAAUUAUAUUCUGAUGUGUUCAACGGGUAAAAUUCUACUCAAAUGGAGGAAUACUCGAGAUGAAAGGGACAUAUUAGUAAGUGUUGUGAAAUGGAUACUUUGAACAGGUAUGUACUUAACCCUCGGGUUGAAAACUCGAUAUAACAACAUUAUGGUAAGAUGAUAAAUGAAAAUGUGAUAUGAAUGUCUCGGUGAUGAUUAUGCAAAUGAUGUUUUAUGUUUGCGUAUAUAGUUGUGUUACUUGUUAUUUUCAUGUGAGCUUACUAAGCAUUUAUGCUUACUCCCUCCUUUUCAUUCCUUGUAGUGUUGACAAGCCAGCUCGGAAAUCGGGAAUGGUCGGAGGCACACUCACACUAUCCGUAUACCAUCUUGGCAUAAUGGCUUGUAUAUUUUGAGUAUGGCAUGUAUAGCAUUAUAAUCAUUUUGUAUAUAUGGUCCUAUGAUAUGGUUAUUGAGUGGUAUGGAAAUGCUUGGUAAUGAUUAGCCAUUGGAAUGGCUAAUCAUGAUCAUAUUUGGUGUUAUGUAUGCUAAAUUGCUAGCUAAUCCAUGGAAACCAUGAAAUAGGUAAAAUUUACCAUAAAAUAGAUUCAGGUAGCAAUAGUGAUAUGAGUUUGAAAAAUCAUUAAAAAUAGUAGAGAUACAAUUAGAUGAUGAAUAAAAUAUGGAAUUGAAUAAUUAUGAGUCUAUUUUCAUAUGGAUGGAACAAAACAGGUAUAUGAGUUAUAUUGUAUGAGAUGUUUAAAUUUUUGUGAAGCAGGUCCAGAGUGAUUUCUGGAUCCCCUAUUCUGACUUUGGAAAUUCACCAUAAAUUGGUCAAAGAUAAUUAUAAGUCAUGAUUUAUAUGUACAGAUUCCUUAUUUAGUCUAGUUUUAUUAGAAAUAAAUGAGAUAGUCAUUGAAACUCUGUACAAGGAGAUAUCUGAUUCGUAAUAGACAGAGGUUAGAGCAGUCAAACCCUAAAAAAGGGAAGACUUUAACUAAUAAACUGUACUAAUUUGCUAGACCAAAAAUUCUAGAAAAAAACUAAUAAAUAGAUAUAUGAGUCUAGUUUUAGGGAAAUUUUACAGAAUUGGAUUUCAAGUUUUGGAACUCGAGAUAUGAAUUUUUAAGCGAAUGUGAUGCAGAUUGCUAGCUUGACUGAAAAUUUUAAAAAUAAAUUGUUUGAGCUGUUUAAGUAAUGAAUUAAGUCUGUUAACACCUCGUCUUCGACUCCGGUGACGGUCUCGGGUACGGGGCGUUACAUUUUAUGGUAUCAGAGCAGGUUUAGUCGGUUCUCGGACUAACUUAGCAUGUAUAAAAUUUUAGCUAUACAUGCCACUGAUCUGUGAUAGUGUGAUGUCUUCCGACACGUAUGAGUACCGUCUUAUUUGGACAGGGUAGUCUCCAACCGAGCUGCGCUGACCAUGUGCAAUGUUAUGUGAAGGUAUUUGAGUAAAAUUAUGAUUAUGAUAAGUCUCGGUUCAGAAAAGUAUGAAUAAAAGUUUAUGAUACAUAUGUGAUAAAUAUCCAUAUUUGCUUAAUGCUUAUAUGAUGUAGUGUAUAUGGCUUACUUGAUAAGAUGAACGAAAUAAAUAGAAAGUAGUAGAGGUAUGAAUAAAAGUCAUAAUAUUAUGAUACGAAUGAAAAUGUCAUUGUCUUGAUUUGGACAUCGAAUGUUGAUGAAUGCUAAUGAUAUAUAAUUUUUAUAAGCUAAAGGAUUAUAAUGAAAUGAACUUAUCUAUGUUAAAUUGUUGGACUGAAUUAUAUGAUUGUAAUGAUAUGUACAUGAUGAUGCACGAAAUGAAUGUUGUGAUUGUGAUGCAAAUAUCUAUUUUUGUUUGGCCUUAUAUGAUGCCAUGAGCAUGAAUUAAUUUAAUUAAAUAAAUAGAUAAGUAAAGCUAUCUAGAAAACAUAGAAUGUAUGCAUAAGUAUAUUGUCUAAAUGGGACAAUAGGAAAAUUUGUGUAAGCCAACAUGAAUGUUGCAUUGCCUGAAUGAAUGACAUGAUUUUGAUGAUGUUGCUAUGAUGAUGGAAGUUGUGUCAUAUGUGUAUGUAUAAGAAAGUCGAGUCAGAGGUCCUACAACCCCUCCCCCUUACCGAAGUGGUACUUAUAAUGGAAUUUCAUGAGAUUUGUAUUGAAUAAGUUUCCGAUUGAGAACCCAAAGAGUUCAGUGAUAGAAUAAUUAUAAGUAUGAUCAGAGAUUGAAAAUGAGCUGAUAAGUAAAGUCAGAGUCAGUAAAGUAUCGAAUUGAUAUAAAGAUUAUUGGAAUUAUGCACUAUCCCAGUUAGAGAAGGAAAUUCUCUUCGGUAAAUCGAAUUACUCAGGUGCAAAGUUGAGAAAAGUGUAAAUCAGAAUUUAUUCAGAACUGACCUUCUUUAGUUAAUGGUUUAAUAUGAAAUUUGUGAUGGCAGAACUAGUUGGGGAAAUGAUAUUUGAAAUGUGAACUAUCUGAGUGUGACAGUUAUGACUGGACAGAUUUAGCAGUCUCUUUUGAGAUGUUCUAUGUGUUUACCCGUUCUCAGAAAUAUUUCUAUGGCUAUUGAUCUUUUGAAGAAAUUCUUGUUAUAUGGGAAUGUCUUCUAAUUCUAGUGUUGGAUGAAAGCAUUGGUAGUCUGACUGGUUUAUAAUUUAUAUUGCUCUAUUUCAUCGGGUAUUCUAUUCCAUUUCGUCUGAUAAGAAUUGAUGAGAGAAUACAUAUGAUAUUAUGAUUCUGUUUCUUCUACUUGAUGUUUCAUCUGAUAUAUAUGUAUGGGAAGAUAUAUUGUUCUUGUUAUAUUUGAUUCCAGUGGGAUUAAAUGAUGUUUUCUUUUGGACUUUCUUUCUUUGAAGAAUUAUUGGGGUAUUCUGUAUUUUCUCUAUGAUUUUGGUUUUUGAUUCUCUGGCAUAGUAUCGUAUCUUGGAUUUCUUUAUUCGGUUUUCUUGUUAUCUUUGUUCAAUAAUUUGUCAAUUAUGACUCAUGUUCGAAGUACGUUCUUCAACUGGUGAUAAUCAUGUCAAAUAUGACUAUACUUCUAAUUUGAUCUUGGUAAUGUGGUGAUUGUAGUAUUGGGAUUUUUUUUUAUUUCUGUGUAAGGAUUUGACAUCAGUAAAGGCAUAGGUGAUAAAAGCGCGAGUUUCAGUCAGUAUUGUGAAUUAUUUAUUUGAAAGAUUUCAUGUGACAAUUAUGUCAGGAUUGUUUUUCUCAAGUCUGAUAAUAUAAUUUCAUUUUUGUACUGAUAAAAGAGUAAAUAGUCUGAACGAGAAGUGUAUAUUUAUUAGAAAGAGUUGGAUAUUAGUUAAAGUCACUACGAAUGAUAAGGUUUUCAUCUUGUGAAAGCUGAAAAGUUUAUUACAUGUUGACAAAGUUUGGAUAGAUGAGAAUAUUGGUAACUGAAGCGUCUGAACUAGACUAGUCUACAUUGAGUAAAGACUUCCUGAUUUUCAGUAAUGUACCGUUGUAUGAAUUGUGAUAUGUUUGAAAACAGUGAGGUAAUGUGAUAGUUUAGAGCUUUCGAUGUUACAUAAAAUCAGAGUUGUUAAAGGGGUUAAAGCCGAGCAUUAGAAUCUAUCAAAAUUAUCCUUGUCAGUGUUGAUAUUGGGAUGGAAAUGAGAAGGAUUAUUCUUGAGGCCAUAUCAGAAUUAAUUCCAUAGCAGAAAGAGGAAAAUGUGAUGUAUCCUAUUGUUAAAUGUUUAGCGAGAUCUAUAAAUCAUAUCUGUAUUGAAUGAAUUCCUACUCAUCAGAUUCAUGGAAUUUUAAGUCUCUUUGAUUGUUGGAUUUCUUGGAAUUCCGGUAUCCAUUAAUCAAGUUAAGAUCCGAGUUUUAUGUCAUGAUAUCAUGGGAAACUGAUAAGGGUUGAAAAUUUAAGAACAGUUGAGAGUUGAGACUGUAAGCUUUCAGAUCAUAUGAGAAAUUAAAGAGAUGUAUUGGAGGUACAGCCUAAGUGAAAGUUCUUCGGCACUGAAUAUGAGAUUAAAAGUGAAGACCACUUUUCAGGUAAGAUUUUCGGGGACGAAAAUCCCUAAAGGGGGGAGAGUUGUAAUAUCCUAAUUUUGGGCCUAGUCGGAAUAGCGGUUUCGUGACCGCAAAAUCCUAUAUAAAAAUAAUCAUUUUAUGAUUAUUUUGAGGUCUAUGAUAUGAUUGCAUGAUUGUGUGAAAAUUUCGUGAAGAAAUUUUAUGCAUAAAGUGCUUAAAUUGAAAUUAGGGACUAAAUCGAAUAAUUUGUAAAACUUGCAUUCUAGAAGUUUCUAGUAUGAAAUUGUUUUGAAAUAUUAAUUAGGAGGUCUUAAAUAGCAAAUUUACCAAUUUCUAAGUCUAUGGACAAAAAUUGGACAUGGAUGGAAUUUUUGGAAAGUUUAGUAGUAAGGGCAUUUUGGUCAUUUAGGGGUAAAAUGAAUUAAAAUACAAAAUUAAAAGCCAAUUUUGCUCAUCUUCAACCCCAUGGCCGAAUAUAGCAAGGAGAAACCAUGGCUAGGAUUUUUCAAGCUUCCAAGCUCGAUUGUAAGUCCGUUCUAGCCUCAUUUUUAAUGAUUUUUACGUUUUUGGAGUCCCGGUAGCUCGAUUAAGCUUAUGCUAGCAAUAAUUCAACCUAGGGUUCAUAUUUGGAAAAAUACCCAUAGGUGAAAUUUGUGUAUUUUGGUGUUUUAUUAUAGAAUAUGAGGUUUUAAAUUAUGUUAGACAAAUUGUACUACUCGGUUUUAAGUGAAAACGAGCAAAAGGGCUUAAUCGGUAAAAAUACCUAAUAGUCAUAAGUACAUGUUAGAGUGAGAAUUUGAUGUUACCAUAGAAGGUAAAAAUGAUCAGCAUGUCAUAAAACAUAAGAAAAUAGGCUGAAGUUUAAUUUACGAGCUUUGGGGCAAAAGUGUAAAUAUGUAAAAGUUUAGGGGCAAAAUUGUAAUUUUGCAAAAAUAUGAUUUUGGGUCAAUUUGUAUAAUGUGAGACCUAAUUAGACUAUAUUUUAAAUGAUAGAGCAAGGAAAACUAAAAUUCGGGCUAAAAUAGGGAAAAUACCAAGUUGUGGACGAAAUGAUAAAAGUAGCCAUUUUCGCAUACGAGGUAAGUUCAUGUGUAAAUAAUGUAGCAUAAUUUGUAUUUUUAAGUUAUUGAUGUUAAUUAUAUGAUAUGCUGAUUUUUAAUCGUGAAAUAUUAUGCUUUAUGGUUAAUGUUGAGUAAUAUGCAAAUUAUGUUUACUACUUGAUAAAUAUGAAUUGCUACCGAGUAUCGGUUCCGAUAUUCCAUGGAAGACGGCAAAUGUGAGAUCGAGGAAAAAAGCCCGUUUGAACCUUAGAAAUAGAUUAGGAUACAAGUGACAUGUCACUAGGAUGUUUGGGCAUCCGAACUCGUUGAGUUGAGUCUGAGUUCACUUAUGGAUGCGAAUGUCCGAACUCGUUGAGUUGAGUCCGAGUUCGAGGGAUGUAACUAGGCAUCCGAGCUCGUUGAGUUGAGUUCGAGUUCACUUAUGGAUGCGAACGCCCGAGCUCGUUGAGUUGAGUCCGAGUUCACUUAUGGGCGGGUUACAUGGUAGCUUGGCUACAUAUGUGGCACUUAUGUGCAAACUUUCCAUGUAUCCGAAUUAUAUUCC
rnacentral:lncRNA from 1 species